CAGUAUUUUGCAGCCCCAUCAAAAUGCACUUAUACUACAUGCAUUUAUGGAUCUCUUUUGUUCGUUUGUUUGUGUUAAUCUUUUCUCAGAGAAGGCAGUAGGUCCUAUUAUUUUUUUAUCGACAGAUACAAGAAAACUUAGAAAUGAAGGCUUUUUAAGCCCAUAUCAUCCUCGAUAUCCAGAUAUUCUUACAAAUUCUGCUCAUCCAAUGAGAGCCCAGGAUCUUGCAAAUGUUACUUCUUAUCGAGAAUGGGUGUUAUUUGGGUAUCUUGUUUAUCCAGAUGAGCUGCUUCGUGUUACUAGCAUCGAUAUUGCUAUGGU